rnacentral:rRNA from 1 species
AUAGUACUCCAUAGAUUAGAGACACUGGAAUGUUCUUUAGUCGAAAGUUCUGGCGCCUUAGGAUGGAUCUGCGGUCGAUUAGGUUGUUGUUGGGGUAACGGCCCAACAAGCCUGUAAUCGAUACGGGUUGUGGGAGCAAGAGCCCGGAGAUGGAAUCUGAGACACGAUUCCAGGCCCUACGGGGCGCAGCAGGCGCGAAAACUUUACAAUGCAGGAAACUGUGAUAAGGGAACUCCGAGUGCCCGUAUACGCGGGCUGUCCAGGUGUUUAAAAAUCAUCUGAAGAAAGGGCCGGGCAAGACCGGUGCCAGCCGCCGCGGUAAUACCGGCGGCUCGAGUGGUGGCCACUAUUAUUGGGCUUAAAGCGUCCGUAGCUGGACCGAUAAGUCUCUUGGGAAAUCCGCCGGCUCAACCGGCGGGCGUCUAAGGGAUACUGUUAGUCUAGGGACCGGGAGAGGUGAGAGGUACUCCGGGGGUAGGAGUGAAAUCCUGUAAUCCCCGGGGGACCACCGAUGGCGAAGGCAUCUCACCAGAACGGCUCCGACAGUGAGGGACGAAAGCUGGGGGAGCGAACCGGAUUAGAUACCCGGGUAGUCCCAGCCGUAAACUAUGCGCGUUAGGUGU